rnacentral:tRNA from 1 species
ACGGAUAUAGUCGAAUGGUAAAAUUUCUCUUUGCCAAGGAGAAGAUGCGGGUUCAAUUCUUGCUAUUUGCC